CUGUGACUGACUGACUGACCCUGGCCAUUGUUGGCAUAUCAUGGUGGAUCUGUCCCGAACAAAGCUCUUUAAGCAGCUGGGAUUGUGCUCUUGUCAUGGAGCCCAGUGGGGUAUUUAUGAUGCAGGGCAGUACAGAUCCUGGAGGUAUGCCUGGCCUUUUUAGGGUGAGCAUCACCCUCCAACUGAACUACUAAACCAUUAAGACCAACCAGGAACCUGUGUGAUUGAAGGUGGAUUUGCAGAAUGACAGAACUAAGACUGUUUUAACCAUUCCUCCCAUCCCUCUGUCCCUGCGUUCCCAGGUACAGCAGUAUUUCUCCUGUCUUCCAGAGGACAAGGUCCCCUACGUCAACAGUCCUGGAGAGAAACACAGGAUCAGACAGCUGCUCUACCAGCUGCCGCCUCAUGACAAUGAGGUGCGGUAUUGCCACUCUCUCAGUGAGGAGGAGAAGAGGGAGCUCCACAUGUUCAGUGUCCAGAGAAAGAGAGAGGCUCUGGGGAGAGGAACCCCCAGGAUGCUCCCUCGAGCCCUGCAACACACCCUCUGUGAACAUUGUGGUGAGGGCAUCAGUGGAGGAGAGAUGGCAAUCUUUGCAUCGCGGGCGGGUCCGGGGCCGUGCUGGCAUCCAGCAUGCUUUGCGUGCGCCACGUGUCAGGAGCUGCUGGUAGACCUUAUCUACUUCCACCAGGACGGAAAGAUCCACUGUGGACGACACCACGCUGAGCUGCUGAAACCACGAUGCUCAGCCUGCGAUGAGGUGAGAUCACUGUGUGUGUGUGAUCAAUAACCUGUGAUGAGGUGAGAUCACUGUGUGUGUGUGUGA